rnacentral:pre_miRNA from 1 species
GGGAAUACUUGUCAUUAGAAUGAAUAAAAGGGAAUGUAUCUAGAUGUAUUUUAGUUCUAGAUACAUCCCUUUUUGUCCAUUUUGAUGACAAGUAUUUUC